GCGGCGGCUACACAUGCAGUCGAGCGGAUGAAGAGAGCUUGCUCUCUGAUUCAGCGGCGGACGGGUGAGUAAUGCCUAGGAAUCUGCCUGAUAGUGGGGGACAACGUUUCGAAAGGAACGCUAAUACCGCAUACGUCCUACGGGAGAAAGCAGGGGACCUUCGGGCCUUGCGCUAUCAGAUGAGCCUAGGUCGGAUUAGCUAGUUGGUGAGGUAACGGCUCACCAAGGCGACGAUCCGUAACUGGUCUGAGAGGAUGAUCAG
rnacentral:rRNA from 1 species